rnacentral:rRNA from 1 species
GACGAACUGUCCAAACGUUGUUCGGAAUCACUGGGCUUAAAGGGCGCGUAGGCGGUCGGCCAAGUCAGGGGUGAAAUCCUGCAGCUUAACUGUAGAAGUGCCUUUGAUACUGGUCGUCUCGAGGGAGGUAGGGGUGUGUGGAACUCACAGUGGAGCGGUGAAAUGCGUUGAUAUCGGAAGGAACGCCGGUGGCGAAAGCGCAUCACUGGACCUCUUCUGACGCUGAGGCGCGAAAGCCAGGGGAGCAAACGGG